GCCUCCAUAGCUCAGCCGGUAGAGCGUUCCGCUGUUAACGGAAAGGUCGCCAGUUCGAGUCUGGCUGGAGGCG
rnacentral:tRNA from 1 species